UACGGAGGGUGCAAACGUUGCUCGGAAUCAUUGGGCGUAAAGCGCACGUAGGCGGUCCGUUAAGUCGGAUGUGAAAGCCCCGGGCUCAACCCGGGAAGUGCAUACGAAACUGGCGGACUUGAAUAUGGAAGAGGGUCGCGGAAUUCCCGGUGUAGAGGUGAAAUUCGUAGAUAUCGGGAGGAACACCAGUGGCGAAGGCGGCUCACUGGCCCGGUACUGACGCUGAGGUGCGAAAGCGUGGGGAGCAAACAGGG
rnacentral:rRNA from 1 species